UUACCCUCCUGAUGAUUCUUUGUUGCAACAGUAAUCCUGCUCAGUAUGAGAGGAACCGCAGGUUCAGACAUUUGGUGUAUGUGCUUGGCUGAGGAGCCAAUGGGGCGAAGCUACAAUCUGUGGGAUUAUGACUGAACACCUCUAAGUCAGAAUC